rnacentral:rRNA from 1 species
CAAGUCGAGCGAGUGGAGUUCUUCGGAACAAAGCUAGCGGCGGACGGCUGAGUAACACGUGGGCAACCUGCCUCAUAGAGGGGAAUAGCCUCCCGAAAGGGAGAUUAAUACCGCAUAAGAUUGUAGCUUCGCAUGAAGUAGCAAUUAAAGGAGCAAUCCGCUAUGAGAUGGGCCCGCGGCGCGUUAGCUAGUUGGUGAGGUAACGGCUCACCAAGGCGACGAUGCGUAGCCGACCUGAGAGGGUGAUCGGCCACAUUGGGACUGAGACACGGCCCAGACUCCUACGGGAGGCAGCAGUGGGGAAUAUUGCACAAUGGGGGAAACCCUGAUGCAGCAAUGGCGCGUGAGUGAUGACGGCCUUCGGGUUGUAAAGCUCUGUCUUCGGGGACGAUAAUGACGGUACCCGAGGAGGAAGCCACGGCUAACUACGUGCCAGCAGCCGCGGUAAUACGUAGGUGGCAAGCGUUGUCCGGAUUUACUGGGCGUAAAGGGAGCGUAGGCGGAUUUUUAAGUGAGAUGUGAAAUACCCGGGCUUAACUUGGGUGCUGCAUUUCANACUGGAAGUCUAGAGUGCAGGAGA